GACAGAAAGUGCAGGCGUUAUUCGGAUUGACUGGGCGUUAAGGGUAUGUAGGCGGCUCAUUGAAACUAGGUUGGAAAGGCUCAGGAAGCAGCUGAGACGACUUCCUAAAGAUUAUGGAGCUAGAGUUUGUUACGGAGUAGAGAGAAUUGUCGAAGUAAUGGAGUUAAAUCCUCCGAUCUUGCUAGGAAGACCUAUGGUGGAAACACUUUUCUCAAACAAACUGACGCUGAGGUACGAAAGGAUGGGGAUCAAAGCGG
rnacentral:rRNA from 1 species